UNGAAAUCUUGGAAUGUAUUCAUGCCA
rnacentral:piRNA from 1 species